rnacentral:lncRNA from 1 species
AGAUAUGAAUUAUUUUUCAUUUUAUUUCUUUUUUUUUUGAGAAAAUAGGUAGGAAGCUACCUGCUUCAUUCAUUAGGUCAAAUGAACUGAGCAUACAAGUUGGAGGCAGCUUGGGCCUCCGAGAAAGCGGCAAAAGGUUGAAAAAAGGAGUAAGAAAGAAAAAAAAAGAAAGAAGAGUGGAACAGAAAGGGAAGGUACAUAGGGCAUCAGAGCAUAGUGGUCCAAGUGCUGAUCAGUAAUUUGAGCUGUUGAAGGGACCCGGAGACCGUGGACGACUUUCCAUUGAAAAUAGAAUUGUUUCUAUCCGUCCAGAUUACCCACCAAGUUGCAGCUAGAAUGAUCAAGCGUUGGUUUCUCGUCGUGGCGACAGGUAGUUU